CUUGUGUAGAUAUAUAUCACAUAUUCAUCUGAGAAGUGUCACGAGUGGUUGUGCAAUCUCAACGCACCGGCUGACGAUGACAAUCGAGAAAUCUCCACAACUGCGUUUCGGUUUGUCGGAGGUUCACCAUUGUCUCAGAUAGACAGAUGUUUACGUUAAUAAAAGGAACUUAUGAUCACUUCAAAAGAUAAGGCGAGGAUGAAGACACAAGAUGUCCGUCCAAUGGGAAGCUGAAG